rnacentral:rRNA from 1 species
GAUGAACGCUGGCGGCGUGCCUAAUACAUGCAAGUCGAGCGAACGGACGAGAAGCUUGCUUCUCUGAUGUUAGCGGCGGACGGGUGAGUAACACGUGGAUAACCUACCUAUAAGACUGGGAUAACUUCGGGAAACCGGAGCUAAUACCGGAUAAUAUUUUGAACCGCAUGGUUCAAAAGUAAAAGACGGUCUUGCUGUCACUUAUAGAUGGAUCCGCGCUGCAUUAGCUAGUUGGUAAGGUAACGGCUUACCAAGGCAACGAUGCAUAGCCGACCUGAGAGGGUGAUCGGCCACACUGGAACUGAGACACGGUCCAGACUCCUACGGGAGGCAGCAGUAGGGAAUCUUCCGCAAUGGGCGAAAGCCUGACGGAGCAACGCCGCGUGAGUGAUGAAGGUCUUCGGAUCGUAAAACUCUGUUAUUAGGGAAGAACAUAUGUGUAAGUAACUGUGCACAUCUUGACGGUACCUAAUCAGAAAGCCACGGCUAACUACGUGCCAGCAGCCGCGGUAAUACGUAGGUGGCAAGCGUUAUCCGGAAUUAUUGGGCGUAAAGCGCGCGUAGGCGGUUUUUUAAGUCUGAUGUGAAAGCCCACGGCUCAACCGUGGAGGGUCAUUGGAAACUGGAAAACUUGAGUGCAGAAGAGGAAAGUGGAAUUCCAUGUGUAGCGGUGAAAUGCGCAGAGAUAUGGAGGAACACCAGUGGCGAAGGCGACUUUCUGGUCUGUAACUGACGCUGAUGUGCGAAAGCGUGGGGAUCAAACAGGAUUAGAUACCCUGGUAGUCCACGCCGUAAACGAUGAGUGCUAAGUGUUAGGGGGUUUCCGCCCCUUAGUGCUGCAGCUAACGCAUUAAGCACUCCGCCUGGGGAGUACGACCGCAAGGUUGAAACUCAAAGGAAUUGACGGGGACCCGCACAAGCGGUGGAGCAUGUGGUUUAAUUCGAAGCAACGCGAAGAACCUUACCAAAUCUUGACAUCCUUUGACAACUCUAGAGAUAGAGCCUUCCCCUUCGGGGGACAAAGUGACAGGUGGUGCAUGGUUGUCGUCAGCUCGUGUCGUGAGAUGUUGGGUUAAGUCCCGCAACGAGCGCAACCCUUAAGCUUAGUUGCCAUCAUUAAGUUGGGCACUCUAAGUUGACUGCCGGUGACAAACCGGAGGAAGGUGGGGAUGACGUCAAAUCAUCAUGCCCCUUAUGAUUUGGGCUACACACGUGCUACAAUGGACAAUACAAAGGGCAGCGAAACCGCGAGGUCAAGCAAAUCCCAUAAAGUUGUUCUCAGUUCGGAUUGUAGUCUGCAACUCGACUAUAUGAAGCUGGAAUCGCUAGUAAUCGUAGAUCAGCAUGCUACGGUGAAUACGUUCCCGGGUCU